rnacentral:rRNA from 1 species
GAUGAACGCUGGCGGCGUGCUUAACACAUGCAAGUCGAACGGUGAAAGAGAGCUUGCUCUCUGGAUCAGUGGCGAACGGGUGAGUAACACGUGAGCAAUCUGCCCCUGACUCUGGGAUAAGCGCUAGAAACGGCGUCUAAUACCGGAUACGAGCUGCGAAGGCAUCUUCAGCAGCUGGAAAGAACUUCGGUCAGGGAUGAGCUCGCGGCCUAUCAGCUAGUUGGUGAGGUAACGGCUCACCAAGGCGUCGACGGGUAGCCGGCCUGAGAGGGUGACCGGCCACACUGGGACUGAGACACGGCCCAGACUCCUACGGGAGGCAGCAGUGGGGAAUAUUGCACAAUGGGCGCAAGCCUGAUGCAGCAACGCCGCGUGAGGGACGACGGCCUUCGGGUUGUAAACCUCUUUUAGCAGGGAAGAAGCGAAAGUGACGGUACCUGCAGAAAAAGCACCGGCUAACUACGUGCCAGCCGCCGCCGUAACAC